AUGGCCAGGUUUGCUCGGGAGCAUCCGGAGUACGUCCAGGCCGAGCUGGAGUACUACUGGAAGCGUGAGGCGGAGCAGAAGAAGAAGGGGCCGAAGAAGGAGGAUGAGGCCGGUCCCUCGACGGUGAUCCCCAUCGAGUCCUCUUCCGAGGAGGACUGGACAGACUUCUCGGAGGAGGAGGAGGAGGAGGGGUGCGACGACCCGACGAAGGAGGAGUUCUGGGAGCAGUUCCGUAGCUCCGAUGAGGAGUAA
rnacentral:rRNA from 1 species